AGGCAGCAGUAGGGAAUUUUCCACAAUGGACGAAAGUCUGAUGGAGCAACGCCGCGUGAACGAUGAAGGCUUUCGGGUCGUAAAGUUCUGUUGUUAGGGAAGAAACAGUGCUAUUUAAAUAAGAUGGCACCUUGACGGUACCUAACGAGAAAGCCACGGCUAACUACGUGCCAGCAGCCGCGGUAAUACGUAGGUGGCAAGCGUUGUCCGGAAUUAUUGGGCGUAAAGCGCGCGCAGGUGGCUAUGUAAGU
rnacentral:rRNA from 1 species